CCGCGAGCCAGUUCUCCGGUAUCGUUUGAAGGGAGGGUACGCUGCGUUCCCGUCGGCUCCGAGCCUACUUUUACGUUGAUCCUUUGAAAACCGGUUGGAAAGUGCCCGAGGUGUGGCGUGGGCGAUUAUAGUGCCGCGUUCAACCGUAAAACGGUCUCUUUACAGUACAAAAUAUACUUUUGGUGUUACAAUUUAACUUUGGAAGUAAAGUGAGUGAGUGAGUCACUUUGAUCAGCGGUCCCGCUAUCUUGGAGUUGGAAUCGAGAGCGAGAGCGGAGAUAAACGACGCGCGUGCGAGCGGGACGGCGACAGUGUCCAGUUCAAAACCAGUAUAGGUUUUUUGG